GAUGAACGCUAGCGACAGGCUUAACACAUGCAAGUCGAGGGGCAGCGGGGGUAGCGAUACCCGCCGGCGACCGGCGCACGGGUGAGUAACGCGUAUGCAACUUGCCUAUCAGAGGGGGAUAACCCGGCGAAAGUCGGACUAAUACCGCAUGAAGCAGGGAUCCCGCAUGGGAAUAUUUGCUAAAGAUUCAUCGCUGAUAGAUAGGCAUGCGUUCCAUUAGGCAGUUGGCGGGGUAACGGCCCACCAAACCGACGAUGGAUAGGGGUUCUGAGAGGAAGGUCCCCCACAUUGGUACUGAGACACGGACCAAACUCCUACGGGAGGCAGCAGUGAGGAAUAUUGGUCAAUGGGCGCGAGCCUGAACCAGCCAAGUCGCGUGAGGGAUGAAGGUUCUAUGGAUCGUAAACCUCUUUUAUAAGGGAAUAAAGUGCGGGACGUGUCCCGUUUUGUAUGUACCUUAUGAAUAAGGAUCGGCUAACUCCGUGCCAGCAGCCGCGGUAAUACGGAGGAUCCGAGCGUUAUCCGGAUUUAUUGGGUUUAAAGGGUGCGUAGGCGGCCUUUUAAGUCAGCGGUGAAAGUCUGUGGCUCAACCAUAGAAUUGCCGUUGAAACUGGGAGGCUUGAGUAUGUUUGAGGCAGGCGGAAUGCGUGGUGUAGCGGUGAAAUGCUUAGAUAUCACGCAGAACCCCGAUUGCGAAGGCAGCCUGCCAAGCCAUGACUGACGCUGAUGCACGAAAGCGUGGGGAUCAAACAGGAUUAGAUACCCUGGUAGUCCACGCAGUAAACGAUGAUCACUAGCUGUUUGCGAUACAUUGUAAGCGGCACAGCGAAAGCGUUAAGUGAUCCACCUGGGGAGUACGCCGGCAACGGUGAAACUCAAAGGAAUUGACGGGGGCCCGCACAAGCGGAGGAACAUGUGGUUUAAUUCGAUGAUACGCGAGGAACCUUACCCGGGUUUGAACGCAUUCGGACCGAGGUGGAAACACCUUUUCUAGCAAUAGCCGUUUGCGAGGUGCUGCAUGGUUGUCGUCAGCUCGUGCCGUGAGGUGUCGGCUUAAGUGCCAUAACGAGCGCAACCCUUGCCACUAGUUACUAACAGGUAAAGCUGAGGACUCUGGUGGGACUGCCAGCGUAAGCUGCGAGGAAGGCGGGGAUGACGUCAAAUCAGCACGGCCCUUACAUCCGGGGCGACACACGUGUUACAAUGGCGUGGACAAAGGGAAGCCACCUGGCGACAGGGAGCGAAUCCCCAAACCACGUCUCAGUUCGGAUCGGAGUCUGCAACCCGACUCCGUGAAGCUGGAUUCGCUAGUAAUCGCGCAUCAGCCAUGGCGCGGUGAAUACGUUCCCGGGCCUUGUACACACCGCCCGUCAAGCCAUGGGAGCCGGGGGUACCUGAAGUCCGUAACCGAAAGGAUCGGCCUAGGGUAAAAC
rnacentral:rRNA from 1 species